rnacentral:rRNA from 1 species
UACGUAGGGUCCGAGCGUUGUCCGGAAUUAUUGGGCGUAAAGGGCUCGUAGGCGGUCUGUUGCGUCGGGAGUGAAAAUUUCGCAGCUUAACUGUGAACUUGCUUCCGAUACGGGCAGACUUGAGGUAUUCAGGGGAGAACGGAAUUCCUGGUGUAGCGGUGAAAUGCGCAGAUAUCAGGAGGAACACCGGUGGCGAAGGCGGUUCUCUGGGAAUAUCCUGACGCUGAGGAGCGAAAGUGUGGGGAGCGAACAGG